rnacentral:rRNA from 1 species
UACGUAGGGGGCAAGCGUUGUCCGGAUUUAUUGGGCGUAAAGAGCGUGUAGGCGGCUAGGUAGGUCCGUUGUGAAACUCGGAGGCUCAACCUCGAGACGUCGAUGGAAACCAUCUAGCUAGAGUCCGGAAGAGGAGAGUGGAAUUCCUGGGAUGUAGCGGUGAAAUGCGCAGAUAUCAGGAGGAACACCCGGUGGCGAAGGCGGGCUCU